UACGUAGGGAGCAAGCGUUGUCCGGAAUCAUUGGGCGUAAAGCGCGCGUAGGUGGUCCCGUAAGUCCGCUGUGAAAGUCAAAGGCUCAACCUUUGAAAGCCGGUGGAUACUGUGGGACUAGAGUACGGAAGAGGCGAGUGGAAUUCCUGGUGUAGCGGUGAAAUGCGCAGAUAUCAGGAAGAACACCAAUGGCGAAAGCAGCUCUCUGGGACGGUACCUGACGCUGAGACGCGAAAGCGUGGGGAGCAAACAGG
rnacentral:rRNA from 1 species